rnacentral:rRNA from 1 species
CGCGGCCUAUCAGCUUGUUGGUGAGGUAAUGGCUCACCAAGGCGACGACGGAUAGCCGGCCUGAGAGGGUGACCGGCCACACUGGGACUGAGACACGGCCCAGACUCCUACGGGAGGCAGCAGUGGGGAAUAUUGCACAAUGGGCGAAAGCCUGAUGCAGCGACGCCGCGUGAGGGAUGACGGCCUUCGGGUUGUAAACCUCUUUCAGUAGGGAAGAAGCCCCUUUUGGGGGUGACGGUACUUGCAGAAGAAGCGCCGGCUAACUACGUGCCAGCAGCCGCGGUAAUACGUAGGGCGCAAGCGUUAUCCGGAAUUAUUGGGCGUAAAGAGCUCGUAGGCGGUUUGUCGCGUCUGCCGUGAAAGUCCGAGGCUCAACCUCGGAUCUGCGGUGGGUACGGGCAGACUAGGGUGAUGUAGGGGAGACUGGAAUUCCUGGUGUAGCGGUGAAAUGCGCAGAUAUCAGGAGGAACACCGAUGGCGAAGGCAGGUCUCUGGGCAUUUACUGACGCUGAGGAGCGAAAGCAUGGGGAGCGAACAGGAUUAGAUACCCUGGUAGUCCAUGCCGUAAACGUUGGGCACUAGGUGUGGGGGACAUUCCACGUU